GUUUGAACCAAUCCUUUACCAAAUGAUCUAUUACCUACAAUAACUGCUCGAUCAAGAUCCUGAAGUCCUCCUGCAACUAUUUCUGAUGCAGAAGCAGAACCGGUAUCGAUAAGUACUACUAUCGGUAUUAUUUCAUCCAGAGGUUGGUCUUGUGUGAAAUAACUUCUAUCCCAUUGAGUUACUUUACCUUUGGUUGAUACUAUUUCCUCACCCUUGGGAACAAAUAAAUUCACAACACUUACAGCUUCGUCUAAAAUUCCACCUCCAUUACC
rnacentral:ncRNA from 1 species